GCAUAUCAAUAAGCGGAGGAAAAGAAACCAACAGGGAUUGCCCUAGUAACGGCGAGUGAAGCGGCAACAGCUCAAAUUUGAAAUCUGGCUCUUUCAGGGUCCGAGUUGUAAUUUGCAGAGGGCGCUUUGGCUUUGGCAGCGGUCCAAGUUCCUUGGAACAGGACGUCACAGAGGGUGAGAAUCCCGUACGUGGUCGCUAGCUAUUGCCGUGUAAAGCCCCUUCGACGAGUCGAGUUGUUUGGGAAUGCAGCUCUAAAUGGGAGGUAAAUUUCUUCUAAAGCUAAAUAUUGGCCAGAGACCGAUAGCGCACAAGUAGAGUGAUCGAAAGAUGAAAAGCACUUUGGAAAGAGAGUCAAACAGCACGUGAAAUUGUUGAAAGGGAAGCGCUUGCAGCCAGACUUGCUUGCAGUUGCUCAUCCGGGCUUUUGCCCGGUGCACUCUUCUGUAGGCAGGCCAGCAUCAGUUUGGGCGGUGGGAUAAAGGUCUCUGUCACGUACCUCUCUUCGGGGAGGCCUUAUAGGGGAGACGACAUACCACCAGCCUAGACUGAGGUCCGCGCAUCUGCUAGGAUGCUGGCGUAAUGGCUGUAAGCGGCCCGUCUUGAAACACGGACCAAGGAGUCUAACAUCUAUGCGAGUGUUUGGGUGUCAAGCCCGAGCGCGUAAUGAAAGUGAACGGAGGUGGGAACCCGCAAGGGUGCACCAUCGACCGAUCCUGAAGUUUUCGGAAGGAUUUGAGUAAGAGCAUGGCUGUUGGGACCCGAAAGAUGGUGAACUAUGCUUGAAUAGGGUGAAGCCAGAGGAAACUCUGGUGGAGGCUCGCAGCGGUUCUGACGUGCAAAUCGAUCGUCAAAUUUGGGCAUAGGGGCGAAAGACUAAUCGAACUAUCUAGUAGCUGGUUCCUGCCGA
rnacentral:rRNA from 1 species